AUGAUAGAUUGUACAGAAACUUGUUGUGGAGCAGGAUGGAACUACCGAUGCCUAAAAAUAAUUGCAACCAUUGUUGGUAUAUUGUACACUUGUACGGAACUGAAAUGUAUCCUCCUUGGGUGUUCCUUCUCGAGGCACGUCUGGUCCGAGAUCCUCUCCUGGAUGCGCAUGACUUGCAGGCCCCCGAGCAACGAGGCUACCCUCUUUGAUUGGUGGCAUGAUGCCCGGCAGGUCACGCCCAAGGCGAUGCGCAAGGGGCUGGCAUCCGCGACACUUCUUACCUCCUGGAUGAUCUGGAAGCAUCGCAACGAUUGCGUCUUCAACGACGCACGCCCUUCCAUCCGGACGCUAGUUCACGGCAUCAAGGAGGAGGCCAAACUUUGGGCUACGGCAGGCGCUGCUGGGCUCAGAGUAGUCUUGCCCCCGACCUGGGACGUGCACUAG
rnacentral:rRNA from 1 species